AAAUUAUAUCGAUGCAAUAAGUAUGGCAGAACCAGGUCAGGAUUGGAAAAUAGCAGCCUUAAUGUUUUUAUACUUAUGUGCAUCAUUUUUUUUGGAGUU
rnacentral:SRP_RNA from 1 species